rnacentral:lncRNA from 1 species
UUUAAUUUACCAAGUGAGAUGAGUUACUUUUAUGGCUCAUUCAGGCAUAUCACACUGGAAGCUGCAUUCAUCAAUCUUUAAUUGGAUUUUGCAAAUGUUUAAUGAAACAUGUUUCCGUUUUAUGCAGAUAUGCAAUGGCAAGCCCUUCCGUGUGUUCCAAAGACAAUGCCUACGCCUAGCCACAGCAGCUCCCCCAUACAGACUCCGCAAGCCAAGAGGCCGUGGAGGCAAAUGCAGGCAGCCAGCACACCUCGAACAGCCACCUUGACUGCGGGUGUGUCAGUAGAUUCCUGUUGUACAUAUGCUCAUAAUAAACUUCAGUAAACUUGAACUUGAUAAUAAACUUGACGGCAAAUGGGA